AGCGGAGCGGCCCCGCCGCGGGGAGAGCCCGCGCUGGCUUCGGGGAGAAACGAAGGGGGAUGACGAGGUGUUCUUGGCUUGCUGAGGGUUUCUCUAGUGUUUGAAGGCAUCAGUUUUCCACUUGUGAACUGCUAAGGGAUCCUGGAGUGUUUACAGGAGAUGGAGAGGUCCUUUGGAUUAAACACACCCAGGAAACGCAACACCGCUGUCCCAAGUUUACAUCUGCUCAAGAAGUGUUUCCUGAAAAACAAGUGGGGACCUAAAACCAGGAAAACGGAACCUAAAAAGCAACUCUGAAGCAGUACUGAGGAGAACAUCAUCACUGCCCAUUCCUUCUGGAAGCCUUUCAGGUUUUCUGGGCAUUAUUUUUGGUGCAUGGUUUCUCUCUGGAGCCUGUCAGUACCAAAGAACGGUUUGUCCCAGUCCCAGAUACUCCAAGAAACUGUUGAAACGCAGAUUUAAAACGUGUGGAUGGCUGACAAAGAGCUCAGCCAGUGAUGUGAAAUAUUGCCAUCUAACAGCUUUUUGGGAGAUUUUGCGUAAACUGAACUGGCAGCCUGGAGUUCAGCAGGCAAAGUAUGCAAAUGGAAAUUGAUACUCCUCUCAACAACUGGAAGCGAAAGGGCAGGGCCAGAGCGUGCUCCAGGAUGAACUCAGCCCUCAGAGAUGGAGAUGGAGGUGCACUGAUGGGAAAAGUGCCCGGCUCUUCUGUCUGCGGCGCGUCUCUCACAUGGAUAAAUACACCACUCGCUGUUCAUCACUGUCAGGAAAAUUGUCACUUCUCACGAGCGCCACAUUAAUUAAAACUGAGAGUAAGGGCUGGGAAGCUGAGCCUUUGGAAUCCUUUGGAAGGGGGAUGGAGCGUGUGUUGGUGUGCUCUGGUGCAACUGCUGCCGCUCAGUGAAACGAAACGGGUGCCAGAACGGGGGGAAAUCAAUCUGAACUCAGGAGAAAUUGAUUUCCAAACCUCUUGUAGCCCUUACCCUGUACUGUGUAAGGUCAGCAGAUGGGCUUGUGAAACUGUGUAGCAGAAUAAAAAUUGUAUUUAUCGACUUUAA